rnacentral:lncRNA from 1 species
UAAUUUGUACUGUGAUUUGUUAGUCAGAUAUGAUAUCAUACAUAUAAUGGCUUCUUUGUUGCUGAGAUGAAUGUGGUGCCUUGUGAUUUGAAAAGAGUUGGUGUGUUAAAAACUUUUCACACAGUACAGCCAAAUUUAUUAUGUGUUUUUCGAUGUAUAACUUACAUUGACUUAUUUCCUCAAUUAUGUUGCCAACUUUACACAACGAUUAUACAUUGCGUGGUUUGAUCACGUCAAUUCCCAACAUUAAUAAGAAAGAUGCAAUAUUUUGUGUUGCAAAGAAUGAUUUUUACCUAUAAAAUAACUUAUAGAAACGGCAACCUUCAGUGAUUUUAGGCUUGUCUUAUUUUUUACCAUGAGCUCAAAUUACACCGGAAAUG